rnacentral:rRNA from 1 species
AUUGAACGCUGGCGGCAUGCCUAACACAUGCAAGUCGAACGAGUGGCGGACGGGUGAGUAAUGUAUGUGACACUGCCUGAUGGAGGGGUACAACUACUGGCAACGGUAGCUACUACCGCAUUCCAUCAGAUGUGCCCAGAUGGGAUUAGCGUGUUGGAGUGGUAUCGGCUCACCAAGGCGACGAUCCGUAGCUGGUUUGAGAGGAUGACCGGCCACACUGGGACUGAGACACGUUACAGACUCCUACGGGAGGCAGCAGUGGGUAAUUUUGCACAAUGGGAGAAAGCCUGAUCCAGCCAUGCCGCGUGUAUGAUGAAGGCCUUCGGGUUGUAAAGGACUGUUGGCGGGGAGGCGGUACCAGCAGAAGAAGCACCGGCUAACUCCGUGCCAGCAGCCGCGGUAAUUC